ensembl:lncRNA
GUGUGACUCACAUGUUUAAGGGGAUGCUGUUAUAAACAGAUCUACUACACUGACAACUGUAUAAAAGCAUAGUGCCUACAAUUAUGUACAGUACAUUGUACUAUACACUUUAUCAUCAUUUUAGAAUGUGCUACUUCUACUUAUAAGAUAAUUUUUACUGUAAAACAGUAUACCGUGGCACACUGGAAGAAGCCACCUAUAUUUGAGGCUGACUGCAUUUCUUGAGGACAUCAAGAAGCCAUGUUCAGCGGUGGACCUGUACCAUCUAAUUCUGUCACAAGCCGGAAGGCUUCUCUAAGAGUAAAGCAAUGUGGGCUGAGAGUCAGACCUGCCUGCCUGCUCACACCCAGGUACUGGAUACCCAGACAGCUUCAGAGAAAUAGCCAAGGAACUAGUGGAGGUCGUCUAGCUUCAGGAAAUUGCCCUCAGCCAGCUCUCCCCUUGUCUCUGUGAUUCUCUGGCUUCCAUUGUAGCUGAG